rnacentral:misc_RNA from 1 species
GGAUCCUUGCUCUGAGCAACGACGUCUUCCCGUUCGUGCCCUUUCAUUCCCGGUCCAAGGGCAACAUUCGCCUUGACCGUCCGUCGGGUUUCCUGUGCUGCAUACCUAGUGCAAUGGUAUUCGUUUGUAAAAAUCGUCCCUCGUUCGUCUUGUGAUGCCCGUUUCGACGCGUGCUUCACGGACGAGCCGCGAAGCGCCCGUCGCGGCCCACCUCGCCCGCGUUUAAUCGUGCGUCGUGUGUGGCCCGCGACGGCACGCUCGUGCUCACGGAUGCAGUGCCCGUCGAGGGUACGGGGCUACGGCCCCUCUCUACCCGGAACCAAGCGUUAUGUAGCGCACGACUGUCGCGGUCGCCUCGGGCGGGACGAUCCCACGGGUCGCGCCUCGCCCGAGCGGCCCCGACGUCCGCGAGGA